rnacentral:rRNA from 1 species
GAUGAACGCUGGCGGCGUGCCUUACACAUGCAAGUCGAACGGAGUCGUUUUUUCAAUCUCUUCGGAGUUGGAAUUCUCUACUUAGUGCCUGACGGGUGAGUCACUCGUGAGCAAUCUGCCUUUAAGAGGUUUAUUACAGUCGCAAACGGCUUCUAAUACCGCAUAAAGCAUUAAAUUCGCAUGUUUUUGCUGCCCAACGAGCAAUCCGCUUUUAGAUUAGCUCGCUUCUGAUUAGCUAGUUGGCGGGGUAACGGCCCACCAAGGCGACUAAAAGUAGCCGGACUGAGAGGAGGAACGGCCACAUUGGGACUGAGACACGGCAGAGACGCCUACGGGAGGAAGCAGGGAGGAAUAUUGCGCAAAGGGGGAAAGCCUGACGCAGCAACGCCGCGUGAAUGAAGAAGGCCUUCGGGUUGAAAAGAUCUUUAAUAAGGGACGAAACAAAUGACGGUACCGGAAGAAUAAGCACCGGCUAACUACGUG